rnacentral:rRNA from 1 species
CUACGGGGCGCAGCAGUGGGGAAUAUUGCACAAUGGAGGAAACUCUGAUGCAGCAACGCCGCGUGGAGGAUGACACUUUUCGGAGCGUAAACUCCUUUUAUAUAGGAAGAAGAUGACGGUACUAUAUGAAUAAGCGCCGGCUAACUCCGUGCCAGCAGCCGCGGUAAUACGGAGGGCGCAAGCGUUACUCGGAAUCACUGGGCGUAAAGAGCGUGUAGGCGGAUUAAAAAGUCAGAAGUGAAAUCCUAUAGCUUAACUAUAGAACUGCUUCUGAAACCCUUAAUCUAGAAUAUGGGAGAGGUAGAUGGAAUUUCUGGUGUAGGGGUAAAAUCCGUAGAGAUCAGAAGGAAUACCGAUUGCGAAGGCGAUCUACUAGAACAUUAUUGACGCUGAGACGCGAAAGCGUGGGGAGCAAACAGGAUUAGAUACCCGUGUAGUC